CGACCCCAGGUCAGGCGGGACUACCCGCUGAGUUU
rnacentral:rRNA from 1 species